GAGCAUGUAGCUCAGUGGAAGAGUGGCAGACUCCGACUCUGUUGGACGAAGGUUCGAAUCCUUCCAUGCUCA
rnacentral:tRNA from 1 species